rfam:Yarrowia lipolytica strain CLIB122 chromosome A complete sequence.
UCCGAUAUAGUGUAGGGGCUAUCACAUCACGCUCUCAUUCCGAGAACCGUGGAGACCGGGGUUCGAUUCCCCGUAUCGGAG